UCAAUUGCAACAAGAUAGGGCAUAAGUUAUCUAACUGUAGGCUUCCAAAGAAAGUAAAAAAUAAUGAGGCCAAUACUAUGGAAGAAAUUUCCAAUGAAGUGUCUGAUAUGGAUUUAUGUGUUGUGAUUUCUGAAGUCAACAUGGUUGACUCAAAUAUAAGAGAAUGGUGCCUUGAUAAUGGUGCCACACGUCAUAUCUACUAUGGCAAAGACUCUUUUUCCAAGUUGGUACCUUGUGACAAAGGGGAGAAGCUCUAUAUGGGC
rnacentral:lncRNA from 1 species